GCAUAUCAUAGCGGAGGAAAAGAACUAACAAGGAUUCCCCUAGUAACUGCGAGUGAAGCGGGAAAAGCUCAAAUUUAAAAUCUGGUGGUCUUCUGGCCAUCCGAGUUGUAAUCUAGAGAAGUGUUAUCCGCGCUGGACCGUGUACAAGUCCCCUGGAAUGGGGCGUCAUAGAGGGUGAGAAUCCCGUCUUUGACACGGACUACCAGGGCUUUGUGAUGCACUCUCAACGAGUCGAGUUGUUUGGGAAUGCAGCUCAAAAUGGGUGGUAAAUUCCAUCUAAAGCUAAAUAUUGGCGAGAGACCGAUAGCGAACAAGUACCGUGAGGGAAAGAUGAAAAGAACUUUGGAAAGAGAGUUAAACAGUACGUGAAAUUGUUGAAAGGGAAACGCUUGAAGUCAGUCGCGUUGGCCGGGGAUCAACCUUGCUUUUGUGAGGCGUACUUCCUGGUUGACGGGUCAGCAUCAGUUUUGGCUGCUGGACAAAGGUCAGGGAAAUGUGGCACCUUCGGGUGUGUUAUAGUCUCUGAUCAUAUACAGUGGCUGGGACUGAGGAACUCAGCACGCCGAAAGGCCGGGGUUCGCCCACGUUCGUGCUUAGGAUGCUGGCAAAAUGGCUUUAAUCGACCCGUCUUGAAACACGGACCAAGGAGUCUAACAUGCCUGCGAGUAUUUGGGUGGUAAACCCGGAUGCGCAAUGAAAGUGAAAGUUGGGAUCUCUGUCGUGGAGAGCACCGACGCCCAUACCAGAAGUUUACGGACGGCUAUGCGGUUGAGCAUGUAUGUUGGGACCCGAAAGAUGGUGAACUAUGCCUGAAUAGGGCGAAGCCAGAGGAAACUCUGGUGGAGGCUCGUAGCGAUUCUGACGUGCAAAUCGAUCGUCGAAUUUGGGUAUAGGGGGCGAAAGACUAAUCGAACCAUCUAGUAGCUGGUUCCUGCCGA
rnacentral:rRNA from 1 species